rnacentral:rRNA from 1 species
AACGAACGCUGGCGGCAGGCUUAAUACAUGCAAGUCGAACGCCCCUUUCGGGGGGAGUGGCAGACGGGUGAGUAACGCGUGGGAACGUGCCCAAAGGUAGGGAACAACUCCGGGAAACUGGAGCUAAUACCCUAUGUGCCCGAGAGGGGAAAGAUUUAUCGCCUUUGGAUCGGCCCGCGUUGGAUUAGCUAGUUGGUGGGGUAAAAGCCUACCAAGGCGACGAUCCAUAGCUGUUCUGAGAGGAAGAUCAGCCACACUGGGACUGAGACACGGCCCAGACUCCUACGGGAGGCAGCAGUAGGGAAUCUUGGACAAUGGGCGCAAGCCUGAUCCAGCCAUGCCGCGUGAGUGAUGAAGGCCUUAGGGUUGUAAAACUCUUUCGCAGGUGACGAUAAUGACGGUAACCUGAGAAGAAGCCCCGGCUAACUUCGUGCCAGCAGCAGCCGCGG